CCCGCGCGGGAGCUGGCGUUGGGGAUCGGCCGUCCCUCAGCGGCGGCCGGCCCCGAAACGAAGUGGCGGUCACGUCGCGACCUCCUCUGCGCAGUAGCGAUACCUCGCAGCCUGGAUAGCGGCGCGGCCAUGCCGUAAAACCCCAACUCUUUCAAGGUU
rnacentral:rRNA from 1 species